GGAGGUGUCGGAUAGUGGUUUAUUCCACCGCCUUGGAAAGGCGGCAUGCCGAAAGGCAUCGAGAGUUCGAAUCUCUCCGCCUCCG
rnacentral:tRNA from 1 species